AAAAGGCACCGAAUUCUUUGUUAAAAAGACUUCAACUACUAAUUGAUCCACGAACUUGUCCAGAUUUGGGAAGAGGACAAUUCCAUGAAUCAAAAGUGCCAAGGUUGCACUACAAAAGUAGGGUCUUCCUUCUUUAAUCAUUUCCCAAGCAUGGGCUUCUAGGAACUUUUGAGUUAAACCUUUGAGGGAUCCUUUAACGCCCCAAUUGUCCACUAGCUUGUUGGUGUUGAUACCCAAGGUGAGUGAGAUAAUCAUUUCCCAAGCAUGGGCUUCUAGGAACUUUUGAGUUAAACCUUUGAGGGAUCCUUUAACGCCCCAAUUGUCCACUAGCUUGUUGGUGUUGAUACC
rnacentral:lncRNA from 1 species